CAGUCGCCGCGGUAAAACGGAGGGGGCUAGCGUUGUUCGGAAUUACUGGUCGUAAAGCGCACGUAGGCGGCUUGGUAAGUUAGAGGUGAAAGCCUGGAGCUCAACUCCAGAAUUGCCUUUAAGACUGCCGAGCUAGCAGGUGAGAGAGGUAAGUGGAAUUCCGAGUGUAGAGGUGAAAUUCGUAGAUAUUCGGAAGAACACCAGUGGCGAAGGCGGCUUACUGGCUCAUACUGGACGCUGAGGUGCGAAAGCGUGGGGAGCAAACAGGAUUAGAUACCCGCGUAGUCCCUGUCUCUUAUAC
rnacentral:rRNA from 1 species